ACACUCUGGAGAAGGUCUGCCUCUGUGUGCGCUGCCCCGGUUGCAUGCGAGCAGAUGAAUUCCACAGCUGGAACUGAGGCACAGAGCAAUAAACACAGUGGAGCCCAUCUCUGCCGUGGUGAGAGGGGGCAUCAGAAGUGACAACAAUGACAAGGACCCAAGGACCGUCCUUCUGACAAGUUUCAGAUUCUUGGGCUGAUGGAGUAAGUGAGUGACGGAGUGGGUUGCCAACUGUAGUUACUCCACUCAAUGCGGAAUGGCUGCAGGGAAUAUAUUCUGAUGUGCCCAAAGAAGUCUGCCCAGGGUGAAACAAAUACCUUUGAGGUUUAAAUCAGAAAACAUAAACACAUUUCCCUUAUAGGAAGAAGUUGUAUUUAAAAGCCUCUGUUUAAUUUAUUCAGAAACUACACGAUUUUUGUUGCUAUAUUUUGUUAUAAAGGAAGAGAGGCUGUUUCUACAGGUGUCAUAGAAAAGUCGAUGCUGAGCCAUGGAUUAUUGGAUCUCAUAGAACCACGGAGACUUGGCAGUAAAAUCCUUCCAAAGCGUUGAAAAGCUAUACCUAAUGCGUUGGUUGUUUUACUGCAUUGCUUAGCAUUCCAUCCAUGCAGGCAGACGGUGUUCCUAGGUUUGGAAACGUACCUCCCAGGGGAAGUGAGCUGAGGAACAUUUUAUGCAUCAUUCAUCCGGUUAUGAGCCCUUGCUGCUCCAUCUCUGCACAAGAUGUUGAAACAACAGCAACAACAAAAAUUGUUUAUAAUGUGUAUUCUAACUUUGGAUCAUCUGGUUAACGCCCUGAUGCUAUUACCCAGAAAGACAAUGCUCUGUCAGAAAAAACCAUUAAAGCUCGCUGCUGCGUGAUUAGUAAAAUAAUAGGGAAAGUUCAGCAUUCUGGAUGUCCCAUCUAAUGAGUUGGCAGUUACAGAACAGAAACAGAGCAAUAAGACCGCAUGGUUACAUUUUCCCAGUGCCACCAACUGGGAGUUAAGCUGACUAACAUUUCGAAAGCCCAGCCCAUUUCAUUCACAGCAGGCAUGGCAGGUAAAAGCAUUUCUGUAUUAAAGUACACACUUUGUUUCUUCAAGUUCUUGGUCUAAUUUCUCUUGUUUGCCAGUUGGGGGGAGAAACAAAAGUAGAUUGGGGACCAAAUGCCUGGGGUAUUUAAUCAAACACCCAGCAACUGUUGAUUAUAGGAUGCAGAAAUUUCACUUUCGAGGAUUAACUAUGGUGGAUUUUGCCAAUCCAAAUGGGUAUCCCCUUCCACUCAGCAUGUUAUUGGGCUCCUUCCUACCACUGGCUAAAUAAGAUGUAGUGGGAGAAUUCCAAGUAGUUGUAAUAAUAACUCUCGGGUUAGCAGAAGCUGAAUGUGCAGGGUGAAAAUUCUCAUUAGAUGUAAGUAUUUGUGAAGGUCCUCAAACAGUACAUUUUAGCAUGUUAUUGUUUGCUUCUAUUAGAGCACGUAAUUGAGAAUUGAUUUCACUGUGUUCUGUUAAUUUGAUUACUGUUUUCUAAGUGGUAAGUAUAAACUCCUUAAAUAUUUUAUGAAGCUCACUUCAUCAAGCCAAGCCCCUAGUGCCCAUCACUAGCACAUCACUGUAUUGAUCCCUGACCUUUUGACCUGUCACUCUGCCACGCGGGAUGCCUUUCUCUCUCGUCCUUGCAGAGGAGAGCUUAGGGAGCAGGAGUGAGGAAAGGCGUUAGUCUUUCUCCCUGAGUAAACUCGGGCUGUGGAAUUAUCAGAAGGGAUUUCCUUGCCAGCGGUGAAGUUGGGUUGGAUAACAUCAUUUUGCAUCUAUGCUGAAUAUAUUUUGGAGGAAGCCUGAGAGCACUAUGUGAGAGUCAUCUAGGAGGGAUGAAUGUAAUACACCUUUCAGGUGGGAAGAUGCAAGUUCUGAGAUGCAUGCAGUUAUUGUAAUAGUAGCUCAUUUUAUGAAUAAAUAAGAAAAUUCCUCAGCUGGUGCGCCCAUGCUAUAUAUUGAAACAAAUUUUACAAACCCUCUUCUUUGACUAGAGUUAGAGCCUUCACAUGCACCCUAUUAAAAUGUAGGAUAACCCUAGUUUGUUUUGUUUCAUGUUCUAUGACCAUCCUAUGGCUAUUUCUUAUCAGACUGGAUCAAAAGUUAAUAGAGGGUAUAGUGGAAAAAUAACUGUUCUUUAAAAUGUUAGCAAUGAAUAAAUAAAUAAAUAAAUGUGUGCGUAUACACACGCGCGCACACACAUUCAUGAUUAAAGGCCAGUGGAUGCCCACACCCUGACUGUAUCUGAAAUCUUUUCAAGAGUGUGAGAUUUUUUUUUCUAUUUUAGCCAUUAGAUGCUUUGGCCAGUUUGGCCUCAAAAAAUUUUUGUGUUCAUAAACAUCACUUGGGAUCCAUGAAGAAUCUCCGGUACUUACUUAUUUUUAAAGAAACAUUCAGGAUCAAUAAGUUCAAAAUAUUUCACAGUUACCAGAGUAGGUCUUUCCUUGACUAAAGCGACACAGCCAUGGUGUAACCGGAUUCUCUGGGACGCGUGACCCAGCGCACCGCUGGCGCACUUCACUGGAUGAAGCGGUCUCCUGCUUGUCGGAUAGCGUGAGACCUCCCAUUUGUUUCCACAGUGCUUUCUGCUUUUCAAACCCUUUCCCAAGACAGUCAUGGUUAGAGGCCAAGGGUAGAAUAAGGGGGAAUAAGGGUGAUUUUUGUGUGUUUCUUUUUCUUACAUGGUAGAUGAAAAAUGCUAGAGAAUGAAAUGUCUUUCUUUAGCUUUGGGUCAAAUUACUGCAUGAAAUAUGAAUCACAAUGUAAUUGUCACGGUGAAAAGAGAGGGAAAGAGGCAUUUACCCUUCAGCUACUGUGAUUCUUGGGGCCACUGUGCUGUCUGUUAUUGAGCUAAGAGGCAACUCACAGCAUUUCUCUCUAACAUAACAUGAAGGUAGCACUUCCCUUAAACAGAUUCAUUUUUAAACGUGAACAUCUGUGGUCCAUGAUCCAGGUUAAGUACGUGUACGUACGUAUUCAUAUGUAUAUGCUUGUCCAGAUUUUUCAGCCAAGCAAUAAAAAUGGUGGAGGGGAGGGAACAGAGGUUCUUUAAGGGUCUAAGGGUUGGGGGGGGGAGUGUUACCUUAAACAGAAGCCAAAGCAAGCGCAUUUUUAAUUUGAAGCUUUGGGUUUUAGCUUAAAACUUCACUCACAUUUUACUUUCUGUUCUAUUAUAUAUUAUAAUUGUUCUACUAUUUUAGAAAAUUUUAAUUUGCUUACCUUUGAGUAAAUCUGCUAUUUGAGAAGACUGCAAUAUUUACCCUGUCAUGACUCAUUCAGAGAACAUUUAUUGAGCUUCUACUAUGUGCCAAGCACUAUUUUCCUCCCCUCCCCCAACACUCUCAGGUAUUCUAGAUACUCCUAUUCAAGUCUGAAAAGCACAGAAUAGAGGUAUACACAUUUGUGAGACAGAUGAAUAGAUAGGUGAAUUGUAAAUUACCACAAUUACCUAAAACUGUGCACAUUUUUCUAUGAAGGGAUUUUAGAUAAUCAUUGUCAGAAUUUAGCAGAAAGCCCCAGGAAGUCUCUAGGUUUUUGUUGAAUUUAAAGCAAUUCCUUCAUACUUUAGAAGGUUACAUUUUCGUUGUCUGUUUUUCAGAGAUAAAGUUCUUUCUUUUCCAUUUCUGCUUUGACACGUGUUUCACGUUUUAUAUCCUUUCAAGUUUUAUAUCCUUCCUCUUUCACUCUUUCCCUCCUGUUUCCCAUCUUUCCUGAAGUUGAAGUGCUGCAUUGUUUUCCUUCUUAAUCCGACUUUUGUGAACUUGCUGUAUACAAGUACAAUCUCCUGGCGUAUAUAAUCCAGGAGAUUAAAAGAAAGGAAUUGUUCCCAUCCCUAUUUGGUUACUGUAAAGAUUAAAUGGAAUAAUGAGUGUAAAGCACAACACUUGGUAGAUAGUCAGAGGUCAAGAAAUACGCAAUGGUCUUCAGUAUUGCGUGUUAUUACUUAGUAUUUAGUAAAUUAUUAUUAUUUAGCAUUAUUUAUUGCAUGUCAAUGCAGAUACAUGCAUACCCGGUAGAUGCAGUUUUCUAUGUGAUGCAUCAUUCCAAGAAUGAUGGCUAAUCUUAGGCACAGUUGUGAAAAGUCAGUGUCUGCCUUCGGCAUUGCCAGCUUUGACUGAGAAGGAGCUCCUUCCUCCCUUUGAGUGCCUCGUGCCCUGCCCCUCUUCUUCCCUUUACUGGUAAAACCUCCUUUCAAAUAAGGACCUGAAAUUUAUCCACACAAAGGUCUAGAUGACUGAGACCAUUUGAGGUGUUGUCCUUGUAAAGGUCACGGACCUCUUAUCAAAGAUCAAAUACCGAGCGGAUGAGAUUUCAGGCUUCUGACCACAGCAGCUGGAUGUUUGACAGUGUGAUUGCUCCCUCGCCUUCUGGAGAUCUCCCCAGAGUGGGAAUGGUUAACUGGGCCAAGGGGUAAGGUUAGUUCUGCUACUGAAGAAGGCGCCUGCCGGGGCUCUCCUGGAGGGUGUCGGACAUCCUCAAAGGCUGCCUUUCUCUCAGCCUGGGGCUGUUUAGGAAUGUCUAUCAGCCAUUCUUUUUUUUUUUUUUCAUUUGUGUCGAUGGGUUUUGAAUCUAGUUAUGACUUAGCCACAAGCAGUAGCCCUUUGAACAUUUUUUUCUUAAUACUCUUCUUUAUCUUGGGAUAUACAUCCAUUUUUCUUCUACCUACAUCCCAUCCAUAUAUUCAUUCUUGGUUGUCCAUUGUGUUUCUUUCACAAAGACCUGUAUUCAUGAUUUAAAGUUUUCACACAUCAAACUAUUAUUCUGAGACAUUCUCCUGAAAUAGUCUUUUUUUUUUUCUUUUAAUGUAACGCCACUUUAUCUGUGUAUUCUGUGCCCAGGUUUGAGGAUUUGAAGGGCUGAGUUCAUGUUUAAGGUAUGCCUUCACCAGCAACGUAAGGUUGGAAAACCACUCCCUUUCUCAGCUUUAGUUGGUCAAUGAAAGGGGCAGAGAAGGCUCUGCCGUGGUGUUGUAAGAAUCAAAUGAAAGAGUUUUGUAAACUCAAAAGUGAAGUAGAAGCUUUUUGGUCUUCUUUUCACCCAUUAUGACUACCUCCUC
rnacentral:lncRNA from 9 species